GAUGAAGAACGUAGCGAAAUGCGAUAAGUAAUGUGAAUUGCAGAAUUCAGUGAAUCAUCGAAUCUUUGAACGCAUCUUGCGCUCCAUGGUAUUCCGAGGAGCAUGCCUGUUUGAGUGUCAUUAAAUUCUCAACUCUCCUAUACUUUGUUGUAAAGGAAAGCUUGGAUUGUGGAGGCUUGCUGGCCCCUUGCUUGAGGUCAGCUCCUCUGAAAUGCAUUAGCGGAACUGUUUGCGAUCUGCCACAAGUGUGAUAAAUUAUCUACACUAGCGCAGGGAUUGCUCUCUGUGUUCAGCUUCUAAUCGUCUCAGUGACAAUUUCUUGAAUGCUUGACCUCAAAUCAGGUAGGACUACCCGCUGAACUUAAGCAUAUCAAUAAGCGGAGGA
rnacentral:misc_RNA from 1 species